ACAGCAGCAGCCGCGGUAAUACGUAGGGCGCGAGCGUUGUCCGGAAUCAUUGGGCGUAAAGCGCGUGUAGGCGGCUGAGUAAGUCUGCUGUGAAAGUCCAGGGCUCAACCCUGGAAUGUCGGCGGAUACUGCUCAGCUGGAGUACGGGAGGGGCGAGUGGAAUUCCUGGUGUAGCGGUGGAAUGCGCAGAUAUCAGGAGGAACACCUAUGGCGAAGGCAGCUCGCUGGAACGUUACUGACGCUGAUGCACGAAAGCGUGGGGAUCAAACAGGAUUAGAUACCCGAGUAGUCCCUGUCUCUUAUAU
rnacentral:rRNA from 1 species